AGGCCAGGAUAAAUGCCGGCAAAUGAAUGAACAGCACAGUGGAAAGCAGGCUGGACAGUGAUUAAGACUCCUUAUCCAGUGCUCUCUUUACUUCCUCUUGCUUUUAACUGGGCUGGGGACUGGCUGGUGGUUCCAAACUUGGAUGGAGAAGAGGAGUGUCCUUUUAGGGAUUCUCUUAAACCCACCAUGUUGCUCUCCCGCUGUGGCGCCCAAGCCCCCGGCUCACCUCUAGGGUCUGGUGGAAGCCAAUCCCUUAGAGACAUCGUCUAGAGGUGGAACCUCAGAAUUAAAUCUCUACUGAAGAGGAGAAGAAUAGGAAGUCCCUGGGUACAGCCAGAAGUGGAGAUCUCUUAUGGCCACUCUCUCAGGACAGAUCCAGGAGCAGGGAGAGCCUCAGUGGGAUCGUUACCUCUGAACAUUUACAGAGAAAAGGAAAAAGAGUCAUUUAAAAGCAUAAACG